AUCAACACUUCUCCGGAUAUGGAAAAGCCAAGAGAUUGCCCAUAUCUGCUCCAGAAGGCAGCUCCUUGCAAGAAAACCCCAAAGAAGAAGUGGACAAAGUGGAUCAAAUUAAUAGCAAAAGUGUGGUUGGAGGGACCUGCACAUUUUAUUAUGAACACCCUCUCCCAUCAACAAUAUUUCCUCCAGAAAACAAAUGGUGUUAAAGUCUCAACUUGGAAAAACCAAUCAAGAAUUCAGAAAAAAAGCCACACAGAAGGUAAAAAUAAGAGAUUUUCACAAAUCCCUCUUGAAAGCAAGCGGUUCAGAAAUAUUUAUGGAAAAAUAUACUUGUUUAACAC